UACGGAGGGUGCAAGCGUUAUCCGGAAUUACUGGGUUUAAAGGGUGCGUAGGCGGUUAUGUAAGUCAGCAAGUGAAAUUCCACAGCUUAACUGUAGGGACUGCUUUUGAUACUGCAUAACUUGAACCAAGAUGAGGUAGGCGGAAUGUGGCAUGUAGCGGUGAAAUGCAUAGAUAUGCCAUAGAACACCGAUUGCGAAGGCAGCUUACUAGACUUGAGUUGACGCUGAGGCACGAAAGCGUGGGGAGCGAACAGG
rnacentral:rRNA from 1 species